UACGGAGGAUCCGAGCGUUAUCCGGAUUUAUUGGGUUUCACGGGUGCGUAGGCGGCUUUUUCAGUCAGGGGUGAAAGACGGCAGCUCAACUGUCGCAGUGCCUUUGAUACUGAAGAGCUUGAAUGCACUUGAAGUAGGCGGAAUGUGACAAGUAGCGGUGAAAUGCAUAGAUAUGUCACAGAACACCAAUUGCGAAGGCAGCUUACUAAAGUGUGAUUGACGCUGAGGCACGAAAGCGGGGGGAUCAAACAGG
rnacentral:rRNA from 1 species